rnacentral:lncRNA from 1 species
ACACAGGCUUCAUCCUGAACAGAUAUGAUGUACAGAGCAUCACACUGGCUGGCCCAUAGGGUUCUUGUGGGAGAGGCCAGGCCUCUGUGACCAUGAAAGGGGUUGCAACUGAUACAGUCAGGGAGGGAUCCCAGGAAGGGGAGUGAUUCCCUUAAAUUUGCUUGUUGAAACCCGUAUCUGGCAGGGGAAAGGAGGAUCUGGUGCAGAGCUUGGAUUCAGCAGAGGUGGCUGUUGAUGUGACCGGUCCCCCUGUUUGGGUGGGAAGGCCCUGAAUGACACAUGCAGCAAGCUUUCAGCCUCGGAGGGCAGUACAUCCUAAAGUGAAUCACCAACUUAAUUAUUCCUCUGCGAAUUACCAUCAGUGAUAUGAGAUUCAACGACAAGGAGCUGUGAGAGCACACAGGAAGGGAGCUCAUUUCUGGGGCUUUACCCCAUAAAGACAAAGAAACUGGCUGAGGAGACGAAAGAAAGAAAGUAGCAGAAGAUGGGAAGGAAACAGACGGAGUCUCACUUGUGUUGCCAAGAGAGCUUGAGCAUCAACUGGCAGUGAGGACGGC